GCACGGAAACACAUUGUCCCGCAUGGAGUCCCCAGGGGCAGUGCAUUUUAAACUCUAAAGUGUGGAUUAUUCUGGGAAUGUCUGAGUGGAGUUGAUAUUCCGCUUUAAGAAGCUGGAUGAGUGUGUGGGUGUUUGUGCGGAAGGCUAUGUGGGAGUAGGCACAGGAUCUUAGUGUUCGGGGUGUCCCUAGGGUAGGCUGUCCUCCUCUCGCCAGAUUAGGAGGGACUCCUCUAGCUCCCCAAAAUUGCUCUCCGUAAUUAGCCUGCCUCGGUUGGUAAGGGGUUAACUAAAGCCGAUUUCGAAUACACCCCCACCACCACCACCAUCACAGUCACCCCCACCCACACCCUGGCUUCCGACCCUGGCCAAGCUCCCAAAUCUCCCCCGGGGACCCCCCACCCAGCAGCCCACCCACACCAACGCACGGCUCCUCACCUGCGGGGCCCUGCCGCGUCAGGCCUCCGGAGGGGGCUGCGAGUGUCUGUCCGACCUCCGCACGUGUCCACAGCGGCGCCAAGCAGGUAAUACUUGAAUCUCCGCUGCACACAUGGCCUAACAAUUGUGUUGGCAUAACUGCCUUUGGUUGAGCUGAAAGUUUACUUAUUUUGAGAGAGAGAAAGCACAAGCAGCAGAGGGGCACAGAGG